rnacentral:rRNA from 1 species
AGUGAACGCUGGCGGUAGGCCUAACACAUGCAAGUCGAACGGCAGCACAGUAAGAGCUUGCUCUUACGGGUGGCGAGUGGCGGACGGGUGAGGAAUACAUCGGAAUCUACUUUUUCGUGGGGGAUAACGUAGGGAAACUUACGCUAAUACCGCAUACGACCUACGGGUGAAAGCAGGGGAUCUUCGGACCUUGCGCGAUUGAAUGAGCCGAUGUCGGAUUAGCUAGUUGGCGGGGUAAAGGCCCACCAAGGCGACGAUCCGUAGCUGGUCUGAGAGGAUGAUCAGCCACACUGGAACUGAGACACGGCCCAGACUCCUACGGGAGGCAGCAGUGGGGAAUAUUGGACAAGGGGCGAAAGCCUGAUCCAGCCAUACCGCGUGGGUGAAGAAGGCCUUCGGGUUGUAAAGCCCUGUUGUUGGGAAAGAAAAGCAGCAGGUUAAUACCCCGCUGUUCUGACGGUACCCAAAGAAUAAGCACCGGCUAACUUCGUG